rnacentral:antisense_RNA from 1 species
AGGGUCCUCCCACCCCGGCGUGGGCCAUCCCGGCCCAGCCCUCCCGAGGCCCCGGGUACUCGCCUUACGCGCGGGUCGCGGAGUUCGAAAAGCGAGACAGGGUCUCACUUUGUCACCCAGGCUGGAGUGUAGUGGGGCAAUCUCAGCUCAUUGCGCCUCCGCCUCUGGGUCCAAGCUAUCCUCCCACGUCAGCCUCCCAAGUAGCUGGGAUUACAGGCGCGCACCGUCAGCCAAGACAUAGUCUCAUCACUGUGUCACCCAGGCUGGAAUGUAGUAGUGAAAUCUCAGCUCUCUGCAACCUUCACCUCCCGGAUUCAAGUGAUUCUCCUGCCUCAGCUUCCUGAGUAGCUGGGAUUACAGUACGAGGGAUAUUUCUGCUGACAAUUCAACAUUCAAAGGGAUGAGUGUAUGACGUCUCUAAGAGAUGUCAUAGAGUGCAUGUAGAAGGGACUUUUUAUGGAGAACUACUUCUCAAAUCACUAGUCACAUCCUGGUAGAAGUCAAGCAAUGAAGAUGGCACAGAAACAUAUCCCAAAUACUAUGAUACCAUAAAGUAUACUGUAGCAAUGCAUCUGGCACACCCUCAUUUGAACAUCUGUCUCAGAAGAUUUUGACAGAAGAUAAAACUGUCUAGCUUUUAUUUCAUUGGUUUCAUGAAAAUUUAUUUCACUGGUUUCAUGUCACAGGCCCGUGACUGUAUAAAGAGUCAUAAUCUUUACAAACACAACAAUGACUCACAGAGACAUGUUGCAAAGCUGUAAUCAAAAACACUGAUGUUAAUUUCAGAGGCCAUUAAUGGUGUUAAGAAGGAGCUUUUGUUAACCAAAUAAUUGAAUACUCCUAGUUACUUUUCAGUUCUAGUUCAGUUCUUGACACCAAAAUAAACCAUUUUCUUUACAUAGUGAAUGUAGAACUUGCCAAUAAGAACUUUCAAUACUAAACUUCUAUGUAAAACAAAACAUCUCAAAAUCAAUAAUACUUUAAUGGAAUGGUGAAGAAUUUACUUAAACACAAAGGAAUGAAAAUAUCUCUGCAAAUAUGUCUAUUGACUUUUCAAAUUUGGUGACCUCUUUCGAAUUAAUUCCCUUACCUCUGUUCCUCAUCCACAUAAAAAUGACAAAAAUGAAAGAUAAUUUUCCAGCCUAUAAUUAAAUUUCUCCAUUGUUGGUGUGUGUUUUUUUCAAAUACAUUUUUCAGUUUUCAUAAUUCAUAUGAGAAUUAUUAAAAGGGAGUUAGUUGCCUUCGAGGACCUUAUUUGGAGCCUACUUCUUAAAAAUUGUGUAAAAAUAAUUGUGGCUUUUAAGAGACAAUUGGAAAUUUGAACCUGACCACAUAUUUUGUGAUAUUAAGGAAUUUUAUUAAUUAUUUUCUAGGUAGGGGAAUGACAUGAUGAUAUUCUUAAAAUAAUGUGUGGAUUGCUUAUUACAUUUCAACAUUUUCUUAAUCAUCAAA